CCAUCCUGCUGGCUGUCUUGGCUUCUGCCAAAGCCGCGCACAGCCUCUCCUGGCUGGAGAGGUUGCACGCGGCUAAAGAGGAAGCCAAGACAGCCAGCAGGAUGG